rnacentral:rRNA from 1 species
GAUGAACGCUAGCGAUAGGCUUAACACAUGCAAGUCGAGGGGCAGCAUUAUUUUAGCUUGCUAAGAUAGAUGGCGACCGGCGCACGGGUGCGUAACGCGUAUGCAACCUGCCUGUAAUUAGGGAAUAACCCGGUGAAAGUCGGACUAAUACCCUAUAUUCUUCUUUUUCCGCAUGGAGAAGGACGGAAAGAUUUAUUGAUUACAGAUGGGCAUGCGUCCCAUUAGCUUGUUGGUAAGGUAACGGCUUACCAAGGCGACGAUGGGUAGGGGGACUGAGAGGUUGACCCCCCACACUGGUACUGAGACACGGACCAGACUCCUACGGGAGGCAGCAGUGAGGAAUAUUGGUCAAUGGGCGAGAGCCUGAACCAGCCAAGUCGCGUGAAGGACGACGGUUCUAUGGAUUGUAAACUUCUUUUGUAGAGGAAUAAUGGCAGCUACCGAGUAGCUGAGAUGCAUGUACUCUACGAAUAAGUAUCGGCUAACUCC